rnacentral:rRNA from 1 species
AGCAGCCGCGGUAAUUCCAGCUCCAAUAGCGUAUAUUAAAGUUGUUGCAGUUAAAAAGCUCAUAGUUGAAUUUUGGGAUCAGUAUGUUGGCCGUGCUUCGGUACGUACUGUCAUUACUGGUUUCUACCUUCUGAAGAACCUUGAUGUCGUUAAUUUGGUGUCUUGGGGAAUCAGGACUGUUACUUUGAAAAAUUAGAGUGUUUAAAGCAAGCAUACGCUUGAAUACAUUAGCAUGGAAUAAUGAAAUAGGACGUUUGAUUCUAUUUUGUUGGUUUCUAGGAUCGACGUAAUGAUUAAUAGGGAUAGUUGGGGGCAUUAGUAUUCAAUUGUUAGAGGUGAAAUUCUUGGAUUUAUUGAAGACUAACUACUGCGAAAGCAUUUGCCAAGGAUGUUUUCAUUAAUCAAGAAU